rnacentral:rRNA from 1 species
CACGUAGGGUGCGAGCGUUGUCCGGAAUCAUUGGGCGUAAAGCGCGUGUAGGCGGUCCGGUAAGUCCGCUGUGAAAGUCGGGGGGCUCAACCCUCGGAUGCCGGUGGAUACUGUCGGGCUUGAGUACGGAAGAGGCGAGUGGAAUUCCUGGUGUAGCGGUGAAAUGCGCAGAUAUCAGGAGGAACACCAAUUGCGAAGGCAGCUCGCUGGGACGUUACUGACGCUGAGACGCGAAAGCGUGGGGAGCAAACAGG